UACGUAGGGGGCAAGCGUUGUCCGGAUUUAUUGGGCGUAAAGAGCGUGUAGGCGGCCUGACAGGUCUGCUGUGAAAACUCGAGGCUCAACCUCGAGAUGUCGGCGGAAACCGUCUGGCUAGAGUCCGGAAGAGGAGAGUGGAAUCCCGGUGUAGCGGUGAAAUGCGCAGAUAUCGGGAAGAACACCCGUGGCGAAGGCGGCUCUCUGGGACGGUACUGACGCUGAGACGCGAAAGCGUGGGGAGCGAACAGG
rnacentral:rRNA from 1 species